rnacentral:rRNA from 1 species
GGAGAUCACGGAGUGCAUACGAUGCACGUCGUACGGUGAAGCCCAGCUUGCUGGGUGGAUCAGUGGCGAACGGGUGAGUAACACGUGGGCAAUCUGCCCUGCACUUCGGGACAAGCCCUGGAAACGGGGUCUAAUACCGGAUGGGACUGCCGGCCGCAUGUCGGGUGUGGAAAGCUCCGGCGGUGCAGGAUGGGCCCGCGGCCUAUCAGCUUGUUGGUGGGGGAAUGGCCUACCAAGGCGACGACGGGUAGCCGGCCUGAGAGGGCGACCGGCCACACUGGGACUGAGACACGGCCCAGACUCCUACGGGAGGCAGCAGUGGGGAAUAUUGCACAAUGGGCGCAAGCCUGAUGCAGCGACGCCGCGUGAGGGAUGACGGCCUUCGGGUUGUAAACCUCUUUCAGCAGGGAAGAAGCAAGCGAGAAUGACGGUAAUCCCAGAAGAAGCUCCGGCCAACUACGUGCCAGCAGCCGCGGUAACACGUAGGGAGCAAGCGUUGUCCGGAUUUAUUGGGCGUAAAGAGCUCGUAGGCGGUUUUGUAAGUCGGAUGUGAAAACUCAGGGCUCAACCCGGAGACGCCAUCCGAUACUGCAAUGACUAGAGUCCGGUAGGGGAGCAUGGAUUCCUGGUGUAGCGGUGGAAUGCGCAGAUAUCAGGAGGAACACCAGUGGCGAAGGCGGUGCUCUGGGCCGGUACUGACGCUGAGGAGCGAAAGCAUGGGGAGCAAACAGGAUUAGAUACCCUGGUAGUCCAUGCCGUAAACGUUGGGCACUAGGUGUGGGACCUACUUAACGGGUUCCGGGCCGUAGCUAACGCAUUAAGUGCCCCGCCUGGGGAGUACGGCCGCAAGGCUAAAACUCAAAGGAAUUGACGGGGUCCCGCACAAGCGGCGGAGCAUGUUGCUUAAUUCGAGGCAACGCGAAGAACCUUACCUGGGUUUGACAUGUACCGAAAAGCCAUAGAGAUAUGGUGUCCUUCGGGGCCCAAAACAGGUGGUGCAUGGCUGUCGUCAGCUCGUGUCGUGAGAUGUUGGGUUAAGUCCCGCAACGAGCGCAACCCUCGUCGUAUGUUGCCAGCGGAUAAUGCCGGGGACUCAUACGAGACUGCCGGGGUCAACUCGGAGGAAGGUGGGGACGACGUCAAGUCAUCAUGCCCCUUAUGUCUAGGGCUGCACGCAUGCUACAAUGGCUGGUACAGAGGGCUGCGAUACCGUAAGGUGGAGCGAAUCCCAAAAAGCCGGUCUCAGUUCGGAUUGGGGUCUGCAACUCGACCCCAUGAAGUCGGAGUCGCUAGUAAUCGCAGAUCAGCAACGCUGCGGUGAAUACGUUCCCGGGCCUUGUACACACCGCCCGUCACGUCACGAAAGUCGGUAACACCCGAAGCUCACGGCCCAACCGGUUCUUCCGGAGGGAGUGGUCGAAGGUGGGACUGGCGAUUAGACUAAGUCGAAUCAAGAUCCAGUAGUC